UCGGGAAUUUUGUGCAAUGGGCGAAAGCCUGACACAGCAACGCCGCGUGAAGGAUGAAGUCCCUCGGGAUGUAAACUUCGUAAGAAUAGGAAGAAUAAAUGACGGUACUAUUUGUAAGGUCCGGCUAACUACGUGCCAGCAGCCGCGGUAAUACGGGGGGUGCAAGCGUUAAUCGGAAUUAUUGGGCGUAAAGGGUGCGUAGGUUGUUUGAUAAGAUAUAUGUGAAAUACCUGGGCUCAACCUGGGAAGGUCAUAUAAGACUGUCAGACUCGAGUAUGGGAGAGGGUAGAGGAAUUUCCGGUGUAGCGGUGAAAUGCGUAGAUAUCGGAAGGAACAUCGGUGGCGAAGGCGUCUACCUGGCCUAAUACUGACACUGAGGCACGAAAGCGUGGGGAGCAAACAGGAUUAGAUACCCACGUAGUCCCUGAGCGGGCUGGCAAGGCGCAU
rnacentral:rRNA from 1 species